GAUGAAGAACGCAGCGAAAUGCGAUAAGUAAUGUGAAUUGCAGAAUUCAGUGAAUCAUCGAAUCUUUGAACGCACAUUGCGCCCGCUAGUAUUCUGGCGGGCAUGCCUGUUCGAGCGUCAUUUCAACCAUCAAGCCCCCGGCUUGUGUUGGGGACCUGCGGCUGCCGCAGGCCCUGAAAACCAGUGGCGGGCUCGCUAGUCACUCCGAGCGUAGUAAUACAUCUCGCUCAGGGCGUGCUGCGGGUUCCGGCCGUUAAAAAGCCUUAUUUACCCAAGGUUGACCUCGGAUCAGGUAGGAAGACCCGCUGAACUUAAGCAUAUCAAUAAGCGGAGGA
rnacentral:misc_RNA from 1 species